CAGGUCGGGGCUAGGCUGGCGACGCACCUUUGCAAGGCGGGGGUUAGGGGUUCGAUUCCCCUCGUCUCCACCA
rnacentral:tRNA from 1 species